UACGUAGGGAGCAAGCGUUUGUCCGGAUUUACUGGGGCGUAAAAGAGCGCGCAGGCGGUCGUGCAAGUCGCGUGUGAAAGCCCCCGGCUCAACUGGGGGAGGGUCACGCGAUACUGCUCGACUCGAAGGCAGGAGAGGGAAGUGGAAUUCCCGGUGUAGUGGUGAAAUGCGUAGAUAUCGGGAGGAACACCAGUGGCGAAGGCGACUCCUGGCC
rnacentral:rRNA from 1 species